GUUGCACAGCAUUGCAUGUAUGAUAUUAUUGUGAUAUUAUUGUGAUGUGGGCUUCAGCCCAACUGAGGCUAAGAUGGGCUAGGCCCAAUUGAUUCUGUUAUGGGCUGUGACCCAAAUGAUAUUGUAACGGGCUUUGGCCCACGUAUGCUCUAAACUGGAUUUUACUAUUACUGUAAUGGGCUCCGGCCCAGACUGAUUCUAAAUUCUGUCUAUUUACUGACUGUUACUCUAGUAAGGGGAUUACACACUGAGUUUUCAUAAACUCACCCCGUUUAUUAACUAUGUAGGUAAUCCGCAGCAGUAGGAGGAUCGGUGCUGCGAAGGACUCGG
rnacentral:lncRNA from 1 species